rnacentral:rRNA from 1 species
UACGUAGGGUGCGAGCGUUAAUCGGAAUUACUGGGCGUAAAGUGUGCGCAGGCGGCUUCGCAAGUCGAGUGUGAAAUCCCCGAGCUUAACUUGGGAAUUGCGCUCGAAACUACGGAGCUGGAGUGUGGCAGAGGAAGGUGGAAUUCCACGUGUAGCGGUGAAAUGCGUAGAGAUGUGGAGGAACACCGAUGGCGAAGGCAGCCUCCUGGGCCAAUACUGACGCUCAUGCACGAAAGCGUGGGGAGCAAACAGG